rnacentral:lncRNA from 1 species
CUGAUCUAGUUUAUCUGACCUUGACCUCAUCUUCUUGGAUCAUGUCAAGUUUAUGUGAUACUUCAGUGGCGGAUCCAGAAAUUUGCAUACUCCUGGAUAAGUCCUGCUUCGGUAAUUCCCUAUAUAAUCAACCAAAUUUUCACCAUUAAAAUGGGGGUGGGGUGGGGGGGGGGCAUGCCACACUUCCUCCCUAAAUCCGCC